rnacentral:rRNA from 1 species
GACGAACGCUGGCGGCGCGCUUAACACAUGCAAGUCGAACGGAAAGGCCUGCUUUCCCUUGUGGAUUGCAGGUACUCGAGUGGCGAACGGGUGAGUAACACGUGAGUGAUCUGCCCCCAACUUGGGUAUAAGCCUGGGAAACUGGGUCUAAUUCCCGAUAGGACUGCAGGGUGGUGCCUGUGGUGGAAAACGAUUUUCUAGUGGUUGGGGAUGAGCUCGCGGCCUAUCAGCUUGUUGGUGGGGUAAUGGCCUACCAAGGCGGCGACGGGUAGCCGGCCUGAGAGGGUGGACGGCCACAUUGGGACUGAGAUACGGCCCAGACUCCUACGGGAGGCAGCAGUGGGGAAUAUUGCACAAUGGGCGGAAGCCUGAUGCAGCGACGCCGCGUGGGGGAUGACGGCCUUCGGGUUGUAAACUCCUUUCGACCGCGAGGAAACCACCUGGUUGGAAGGGUGGUGACGGUAGUGGUAGAAGAAGCACCGGCUAACUACGUG